UGGCAGACAUGGAUCAAAAACCUUUGUCUUAAGUCUGGAGGAGCGGACUCCGACAAUGCUCGUGUAUGCAGUGAAAGCCAGGUAAACCAAUGACCGAGGCAUUGCGUCUACGAGAGGAAAGGUUGAAGUCCAGAGAAGCAGAUCAGACCUGCACCAGACCUGCAUUGCUGGACCUCAGUAAGUUAGCUGAGAGCCCAGAAUCAGAAUACUUCAAAGAUGCAGGAUGCCAUCUUGAGAAGAUGGAAGAUGUUCUGAAUCAAGCAUCAGUGGAGUUGAGUGAGCUCAGGACUAAAGCAUUGGAAACACAAUUUAGCCAAGUGGCUUUUCAGAACAUUGAAGACAAGACUAAGUUUUACACAGUAUUUCCCAAUUUCUUAGUUUUGAUGCAAGUGUUUCAACUAUGUGAGCCACACAUCACCUCUAGCACUUUGUCUGCCCUCUCCAAAUUAGAAUCGUCCAUUUUGGUUUUACUUCGGUUGAGACUAAAUCUUUCACUCCAAGAUUUGGCUUUCAGGUUCAAUGUUUCCUGUUCCACCGUUUCUUGAAUUUGGCACAAGUUAAUUGGCGUACUUCAUGAAAGACUGGAGUUUAUAAUAGAGUGGCCAGAGCGAGAGGUAUUUGCACUUGUUUUUGAAGUUUCAUCGUCUGUAGUCAUCGAUCUUUUCUUUGUUUGUUCGGCCAUAGUAACUGUUUACUCGCAGUUGCAACGCUAGCA